UAAUACAUGCAAGUCGUACGCUUCUUUUUCCACCGGAGCUUGCUCCACCGGAAAAAGAAGAGUGGCGAACGGGUGAGUAACACGUGGGUAACCUGCCCAUCAGAAGGGGAUAACACUUGGAAACAGGUGCUAAUACCGUAUAACAAUCGAAACCGCAUGGUUUUGAUUUGAAAGGCGCUUUCGGGUGUCGCUGAUGGAUGGACCCGCGGUGCAUUAGCUAGUUGGUGAGGUAACGGCUCACCAAGGCCACGAUGCAUAGCCGACCUGAGAGGGUGAUCGGCCACAUUGGGACUGAGACACGGCCCAAACUCCUACGGGAGGCAGCAGUAGGGAAUCUUCGGCAAUGGACGAAAGUCUGACCGAGCAACGCCGCGUGAGUGAAGAAGGUUUUCGGAUCGUAAAACUCUGUUGUUAGAGAAGAACAAGGAUGAGAGUAACUGUUCAUCCCUUGACGGUAUCUAACCAGAAAGCCACGGCUAACUACGUGCCAGCAGCCGCGGUAAUACGUAGGUGGCAAGCGUUGUCCGGAUUUAUUGGGCGUAAAGCGAGCGCAGGCGGUUUCUUAAGUCUGAUGUGAAAGCCCCCGGCUCAACCGGGGAGGGUCAUUGGAAACUGGGAGACUUGAGUGCAGAAGAGGAGAGUGGAAUUCCAUGUGUAGCGGUGAAAUGCGUAGAUAUAUGGAGGAACACCAGUGGCGAAGGCGGCUCUCUGGUCUGUAACUGACGCUGAGGCUCGAAAGCGUG
rnacentral:rRNA from 1 species